rnacentral:rRNA from 1 species
AGCGCAGACGGUUGAUUAAGCCUGAUGUGAAAGCCCGGAGCUCAACUCCGGAAUGGCAUUGGAAACUGGUUAACUUGAGUGCAGUAGAGGUAAGUGGAACUCCAUGUGUAGCGGUGGAAUGCGUAGAUAUAUGGAAGAACACCAGUGGCGAAGGCGGCUUACUGGACGGUAACUGACGUUGAGGCUCGAAAGCGUGGGAGGCAAACA